rnacentral:rRNA from 1 species
GACGAACGCUGGCGGUGUGCUUAACACAUGCAAGUCGAACGGAAUUGCUGUGCUUUUGUGCGUUGCUGGUUUGCCGCUUGUGUGAGGCACACGUGUGUAACCUGCCCUUGAUUUUCGGUUGACUUUAGUUAACUUGGUCUUCUACAGGACUUGAGCCCCUUUUGCAUGGUAGGCGUUGGAACGUCUCGGCGGUCGGGGAUGGACUGGCGGGUUAUGGGCUUGCUCGUGGGGUAGUGACUUACCAAGGCUUUGACGGUUAGCCGGCCUGAGAGGGUGACCGGCGACAUGAGGACUGAGAUACGGCGCAGACUCCGACGGGAGGCAGCAGGGGGGAAUAUUGAACAAUGGGCGGAAGCGGGAGGCAGCAACGCCGCGGGCGGGAUGACGGCCUUCGGGGUGUAAACCGCUGUCGACUGUGACGAAGCGGGAGUGACGGUAAUGGGUAAAGAAGCACCGGCUAACUACGUG